UACGAAGGUGGCGAAUGUUACUCGGAUUCACUGGGCGUAAAGCGUCCGCAGGUGGUUUAUUAAGUCAGAGGUGAAAGCCCCGUGCUCAACAUGGGAACUGCCUUUGAAACUAGUAGACUAGAAGGUGAGAGAGGUUGGUAGAAUACCCGGUGUAGAGGUGAAAUUCGUAGAUAUCGGGUGGAAUAUCCAUGGCGAAGGCAGCUAACUGGCUCAUACUUGACACUCAGGGACGACAGCGUGGGGAUCAAACAGG
rnacentral:rRNA from 1 species